GACGAACGCUGGCGGCGUGCUUAACCACAUGCAAGUCGAACCGGAGCGAAUGAAAAGCUUGCUUUUAUAAGCUUAGUGGCAAACGGGUGAGUAACACGUAGGCAACCUGCCCGACAGGAUGGGGACAACAUUCCGAAAGGAAUGCUAAUACCGAAUGAAGUCGAGGGAGGGCAUCCUCCUCCGAUGAAAGAUGGCCUCUAUAUAUAAGCUAUCACCUGUCGAUGGGCCUGCGUCUGAUUAGCUGGUAGGUGAGGUAACGGCUCACCUAGGCGACGAUCAGUAGCCGGUCUGAGAGGAUGAACGGCCACAUUGGGACUGAGACACGGCCCAGACUCCUACGGGAGGCAGCAGUGGGGAAUCUUCCGCAAUGGGCGCAAGCCUGACGGAGCAACGCCGCGUGAGUGAAGAAGGUCUUCGGAUCGUAAAGCUCUGUUGAUGGGGACGAACGUGCCUAAUGCGAAUAGUAUUAGGUAA
rnacentral:rRNA from 1 species